CGGCUGGCGGCGUGCCUAAUACAUGCAAGUCGAACGCACUCUCGUUUAGAUUGAAGGAGCUUGCUCCUGAUUGAUAAACAUUUGAGUGAGUGGCGGACGGGUGAGUAACACGUGGUAACCUGCCCUAAAGUGGGGAUAACAUUUGGAAACAGAUGCUAAUACCGCAUAAAACCUAACACGCAUGGUGUAGGGUUGAAAGAUGGUUUCGGCUAUCACUUUAGGAUGGACCCGCGGUGCAUUAGUUAGUUGGUGAGGUAAAGGCUCACCAAGACCGUGAUGCAUAGCCGACCUGAGAGGGUAAUCGGCCACACUGGGACUGAGACACGGCCCAGACUCCUACGGGAGGCAGCAGUAGGGAAUCUUCCACAAUGGACGAAAGUCUGAUGGAGCAACGCCGCGUGAGUGAAGAAGGUUUUCGGAUCGUAAAACUCUGUUGUUGGAGAAGAAUGUAUCUGAUAGUAACUGAUCAGGUAGUGACGGUAUCCAACCAGAAAGCCACGGCUAACUACGUG
rnacentral:rRNA from 1 species